rnacentral:rRNA from 1 species
AUUGAACGCUGGCGGCAGGCCUAACACAUGCAAGUCGAACGGUAACAGGGAGCAGCUUGCUGCUCUGCUGACGAGUGGCGGACGGGUGAGUAAUGUCUGGGAAACUGCCUGAUGGAGGGGGAUAACUACUGGAAACGGUAGCUAAUACCGCAUAACGUCUUCGGACCAAAGUGGGGGACCUUCGGGCCUCAUGCCAUCAGAUGUGCCCAGAUGGGAUUAGCUAGUAGGUGGGGUAACGGCUCACCUAGGCGACGAUCCCUAGCUGGUCUGAGAGGAUGACCAGCCACACUGGAACUGAGACACGGUCCAGACUCCUACGGGAGGCAGCAGUGGGGAAUAUUGCACAAUGGGCGCAAGCCUGAUGCAGCCAUGCCGCGUGUAUGAAGAAGGCCUUCGGGUUGUAAAGUACUUUCAGCGGGGAGGAAGGCGUUGUGGUUAAUAACCGCAGCGAUUGACGUUACCCGCAGAAGAAGCACCGGCUAACUCCGUGCCAGCAGCCGCGGUAAUACGGAGGGUGCAAGCGUUAAUCGGAAUUACUGGGCGUAAAGCGCACGCAGGCGGUNNNUUAAGUCAGAUGUGAAAUCCCCGGGCUCAACCUGGGAACUGCAUUUGAAACUGGYMNGCUUGAGUCUCGUAGAGGGGGGUAGAAUUCCAGGU